rfam:Smithella sp. ME-1 CONTIG_7599, whole genome shotgun sequence.
UAGUAAAUUUAUUUACUUGACAAAAAAGUAAAGUUUUAUUAAAUAAAAAUCGUUCGCUUGGAUCCGUAAGGACUGAGACGAGAGG